rnacentral:rRNA from 1 species
GACAGAGGGUGCAAACGUUGUUCGGAAUUACUGGGCAUAAAGCGCACGCAGGCGGUCUGUUAAGUCAGGUGUGAAAGCCCCCGGCUCAACCGGGGAACAGCAUUUGAUACUGGCAGACUCGAGGAUGGUAGGGGUGAGUGGAACUCCAGGUGGAGCGGUGAAAUGCGUAGAUAUCUGGAGGAACACCGGUGGCGAAAGCGGCUCACUGGACCAUAACUGACGCUGAGGUGCGAAAGCUAGGGUAGCAAACGGG